UACGAAGGGGGCUAGCGUUGUUCGGAUUUACUGGGCGUAAAGCGCACGUAGGCGGAUCUUUAAGUCGGAUGUGGAAACUCCAGCUCAACUUGGAGACGCCAUUCGAUACUGCGAUGACUUGAGUCCGGUAGGGGAGUGUGGAAUUCCUGGUGUAGCGGUGAAAUGCGCAGAUAUCAGGAGGAACACCGGCGGCGAAGGCGGCACUCUGGGCCGGUACUGACGCUGAGGAGCGAAAGCGUGGGUAGCAAACAGG
rnacentral:rRNA from 1 species